rnacentral:rRNA from 1 species
UACGUAGGGUGCGAGCGUUAAUCGGAAUUACUGGGCGUAAAGAGUGCGUAGGCGGUUCGUUAUGUCUGCUGUGAAAGCCCCGGGCUUAACCCGGGAAUGGCAGUGGAAACUGGCGGGCUUGAGUGUGGCAGAGGGGGGUGGAAUUCCGCGUGUAGCAGUGAAAUGCGUAGAGAUGCGGAGGAACACCGAUGGCGAAGGCAGCCCCCUGGGCUAACACUGACGCUCAGGCACGAAAGCGUGGGGAGCAAACAGG